rnacentral:rRNA from 1 species
UACGUAGGAUCCAAGCGUUGUCCGGAUUUACUGGGUGUAAAGGGUGCGUAGGCGGUCGGGUAAGUCUGUUGUGAAAUCUCCGAGCUUAACUCGGAAACUGCAGUGGAUACUAUCCGGCUCGAGGAAUGGAGGGGAGACUGGAAUACUUGGUGUAGCAGUGAAAUGCGUAGAUAUCAGGAGGAACACCUGUGGCGAAAGCGGCUCACUGGACCAUAACUGACGCUGAUGCACGAAAGCUAGGGGAGCAAACAGG